AUAACAUCGUGCCUUGGGUGUGAGAAUGUGGGACGGAGUGCCCAAAUCAAGGAAUCGCUAUUCCCUGCUCUCCUUUCCCCGCAGAUUUGUCCCCGGCUCUCCGGUUUCGUGUCCCCUCGCGGUGGCGGUGGGGCAGUGCCGGUGCCGAUGACGAUGAGAGGAAUGUUGCCCGUCCGGUUCCGCCGCGGCAACUCCGGGCCGGGCCCGCGGUGCGGCGGCUCUCAGGGGCUCUGCAGGACCGGCACUCCCGGUCCGGUCGGGGUACCUCCGUGCCCGCAUGGCUCCGCGGAGGCUGAGCGCCGCGGGGCCUCGGGGACGCCGCCAUGGCGAAGCGGGAGGCCAACGCCAGCCCGGUGGUGCGGCAGAUUGACAAACAGUUCCUGGUGUGCAGCAUCUGCCUCGACCGCUACCGCAACCCCAAGGUGCUGCCGUGCCUGCACACCUUCUGUGAGAGGCCCCUGCCUACCCUUGGCACUCCCCUGCUCCCGUCUGGCACAGCCCUGUCCUAUCUAUCCAUCUGUCUGUCUGUCUGUGGCCCCAUGUCGAGGUGUCUCCAGAACUAUAUCCCGCCCCAGAGCCUGACCCUGUCCUGCCCCGUGUGCCGCCAGACCUCCAUCCUGCCCGAGCGCGGCGUGGCGGCCCUGCAGAACAACUUCUUCAUCACCAACCUGAUGGAAGUGCUGCAGCGCGACCCCGACAGCCGCGGCCCCCACCCCGGCCC
rnacentral:lncRNA from 1 species